CAAAGGCAAACACAUGUAUGUAAAUGUAUUCAUGUAUUUUGUGUAGUUGUGUUUAAGCUGCAGAGCUGAAAACAGGAAAAUUGGUUUUCUCUUUAUCAGCAUGAGCUUGUAUGUUUAGCAGCCCCAAACACACUGAUAAGACAUUGCAAGCUGUUGAAACUGUUUGAUUAUGUCCACACUUUCAUGGCCUACAGGUCGAGGCAUGAAAAUGUGGAUGAUGCAUCAUUAGCAACUUUCAUGUUUGUGGUUUCACAUUCACACCUCAGUUUUCACUUACUCACUUUAAUUUAAUUAUUGUUUGUGACCUCACAUGACUCAUGUGUGUCAUACCAAACACUUAACAGUGUUUUGUGCACUGAUGUUUAUUGAAUGAAUAAUUAUGUCCAGAUCUUUUGACAGUAAAACUUUAAAAGACAUUUGUAUAAUUGCAGUUAGGUCACAAACCAAUAAAGCUGCGGUGUGCUCCACAUUUAAUUGAAUUUACCGUGUUCUCACAGGCAUAAUAUCAGGUUUGCAACCUGCUGUUACGCACGCACCCCACCUGGCUUCUGCCUCUUGACUCACCAUGGGAUUAUUUGCAGGGAAAAUGUGUGAGAAUAUAUCAGUCCACCCACAGAGUGAUGCUAAAACCAGAAAAACACCAAGUUGUGUUUUGUCCAAACAAACCCUGUGUCAUGAUGAGUAUACUGGGGAUCACUCACAGCAGUCUCAGAUAGAUCUGAUUAAUUGUCUGGAUAUGUAUGGAAGAGAACAGUGUCAAUAGGACAGUGAUUGCAGCGAUGGGAAAUGAAAACACAGGUAAGAAUAUGACAGAAAUGUUUUAUGUCAGGGUACAAACAGCCUCAUGCCUGGUGUUUGAUUGAAAAAGGUUGAAAGUCUUAUGAGCAAAUUCACAACAGGAUUGAGCUGCUUUUAUGUCCGCUGAAACUGCACAAAUGAGACAAAAAGGAACCAUGUAACCCUCAAAUGUACCUGCAAAGAAAGAAAUGCAAGCCUAACUGUGCUGCCAAGCAAAUAGGUAGUGUGUAUACAUAUGGUGCAAAAUCAGCCCCUUUCUAUGCAAAUGAGCCUCUUUGCAAAAAAAAAAAAAAGUCCACUUCACAAAGAUCAGUGCUAACAGCCACAUGCAGUUACACUGAAAUAAUUAGUGUCUUUAAAAAGUUGGUGGUAACUGAAGUGUACUAACAGAUUAGGUUAUUAAAUGUUAAAUCUGGGCUGCAUAGGUAGGUAGGUAGGUAGGUAGGUAGGUAGGUAGGUAGGUAGGUAGAGAUGGUUAGAUAGGUAGGUAGAAAGGUAGGUAGAUGGAGAGAGAGGGGCAGAGAGAGAGAGAGGUAGUUGGAAAGAUAGGUAGGUAGAAAGGUAGAUAGGUAGAAAUGUAGAUAGUUGAUAGGUAGAAAUGUAGAUUGGUAGAAAGGUUGAUAGGUAGAAAGGUAGAAAGGUUGAUAGGUGGAAAGGUAGAAAGGUAGAUUGAUAGAAAGGUAGAAAGGUUAAUAGGUAGAAAGGUAGAAAUCUAGAAAGGCAGAAAUAUAGAUAGGUAGAAAGGUUGAUAGGUAGGAAGGUAGAAAGGUAGGUAGAUAGGUAGAUAGUUGAUAGGUAGAAAGGCAGAUAGGUAGAAAUGUAGAUAGGUAGAAAGGUAGAUGGGUAGAAAGGUUGAUAGGUAGAAAGGUUAAUAGGUAGAAAGGUAGAUAGGUAGAAAGGUAGGUAGAUAGUUGAUAGGUAGAAAGGCAGAUAGGUAGAAAGGUUGAUAGGUGGAUAGGUAGAAAUGUAGAUAGGUAGAAAGGUAGAUGGGUAGAAAGGUUGAUAGGUAGAUAGGUAGAAAGGUAGAUAGGUAGAAAGGUUGAUAGGUAGAAAGGUACAAAGGUUGAUAGGUGGAAAGGUAGAAAGGUUGAAAUGUAGAAAGGUAGAUAGCUAGAAAGGUUGAUAGGUAGAUAGGUAGAAAUGUAGAUAGGUAGAAAGGUAGAUGGGUAGAAAGGUUGAUAGGUAGAAAGGUAGAUAGGUAGAAAGGUUGAUAGGUAGAAAGGUAGAAAGGUUGAUAGGUAGAAAGGUACAAAGGUUGAUAGGUGGAAAGGUAGAAAGGUAGAAAUGUAGAAAGGUAGAAAGGUUGGUAGGUAGAUAGGUAGAAAGGUUGGUAGGUAGAUAGGUAGAAAGGUUGAUAGGUAGAAAGGUUGAUAGGUAGAUAGGUUGAUAGGUAGAUAGGUAGAAAUGUAGAUAGGUAGAGAGGUUGAUAAUUAGAAAGGUAGAUAGGUAGAAAGGUUGAUAGGUAGAAAGGUACAAAGGUUGAUAGGUGGAAAGGUAGAAAGGUAGAAAUGUAGAAAGGUUGGUAGGUAGAUAGGUAGAAAGGUUGGUAGGUAGAUAGGUAGAAAGGUAGAUAGCUAGAAAGGUUGAUAGGUAGAUAGGUAGAAAUGUAGAUAGGUAGAAAGGUAGAUGGGUAGAAAGGUAGAUAGGUAGAAAGGUUGAUAGGUAGAAAGGUAGAUGGGUAGAAAGGUUGAUAGGUAGAAAGGUACAAAGGUUGAUAGGUAGAAAGGUACAAAGGUUGAUAGGUGGAAAGGUAGAAAUGUAGAACGGUAGAAAGGUUGGUAGGUAGAUAGGUAGAAAGGUUGGUAGGUAGAUAGGUAGAAAGGUUGAUAGGUGGAAAGGUAGAAAGGUAGAAAUGUAGAAAGGUAGAUAGGUAGAAAGGUUGAUAGGUAGAUAGGUAGAAAUGUAGAUAGGUAGAAAGGUAGAUGGGUAGAAAGGUUGAUAGGUAGAAAGGUAGAUGGGUAGAAAGGUUGAUAGGUAGAAAGGUUGGUAGGUAGAAAGGUAGAUAGGUAGAAAGGUUGAUAGGUAGAAAGGUACAAAGGUUGAUAGGUGGAAAGGUAGAAAGGUAGAAAUGUAGAAAGGUAGAAAGGUUGAUAGGUAGAAAGGCUGAUAGGUUAGGUAGGUCGAUAGGUUGAUAGAGAGAUAGAGAGAGAUGGUUAGGUAGUUAGGUAGAUACAUAGAUAGAGAGAUAGAGAUGGUUAGGUAGUUGGAUAGAUGGUUAGAUAGGUAGAUAGAUGGGUGGAUAGAUGGAUAGAUAGACUUAAUUGUCAUUCAAAUCCACACAACAUUGACUCUGAAUUAAACAUAGAUAAAACUAUACAUCAGCAGCAAAAGUGCUAGUGCUAGAUAGACUAAUACAAGUCCAUCAAGCUGAGACCAGAGAUCAGUGAGAGUGUGAGAAGGGGAUUAUUGACUGACAUUCAGUGUAAGUGGAUGGUGUGUAAGAGGUUCAUCAUCUCAUGGAGUUCAAUCAGUUAAAUGUAAUGUAUUGCAAUCAUCUGCAGAAGACACUGUCACCUCACUGGAAUGACUCUGCAGCUAUUUCUGAUGAUUUGUAAAAAGCCUAGAACUGGCCGUCGAUUCAUGAUAGUGUAGGCUGAAAGUGUACAAAAGGGCAGGUGCAUUCCAUGUCAAGCCUCUUCUGCCCGCUUUCUCUGUGCCACAUAUGCCGCUGUGUAACACCAGAGGCAGAGGGUAAGUGCAUGAGGGGAAGUGGAACUUCUAAGAAAACAGCCACGGUUUCUCUCUGUCACAGUUUCUCUCUGUCACAUCUAAGGCCAGGACACACCAAACCAACAUCAGAGAACUAGUGGCAACCAAGGCCGACUGUGGCAUUGUCUCACAUUUCCUGUGUGUCCGCCAAAAAGUAGCACUGAACACACUACAAAGACUACAGCCAACAGUCAUCUGGCAUUUAUGUUGGGCACAUGUGUGAGAAAAAAUAACUCUCCAUACUAGCAUGGGGUGGUAGUCUGUGUUCAUAAUUGAAAAACGGAUACAGAAAGACCGACAGGAUGGAUUCAAGGCGCUAAUUAGCCAGUUAGCACAUAAACAACUCAACCUGAUGCUGAAAGAACAAAGGAUAUUUACUGUGCACCAGAGAACAAUAACACAAACAGGAACGAAUUGUUUCUGUUUAAGAGCUCAAGGGCCGGAAAAAUAAACUUACCUAAUACAACAAAUUUGUGUCGAUCUCACGCCCUCUUGAUUUUAGUUGUUUGUUUGCUUUCCUCACUUCCAUUUCUCUUCUUGUCCUAUGAGUUGAACCUCCAAACAGAGUAAUUUCUCUCACUAACAGGCUCCGUCAUUCCCGACUCUGAUUCAGCAUGCUGAUCCUGCCAGAAAAAGCUGACAGGGCCCCCAGCGUUGGGGGACAUAAUGCAAAAACUAUGGUGACAGAUGCUCAUGAACAGCCUGACAUUGACCAAUGGCCAACUCUUGGCUUAGUGUGUUAGGGCCUUUAAAUUCCUUUCCAUUUUCAGGAAUGCCUCUGCACCUCGUCAAUCAGGACCCGUAGCUUGUGGUCUGAAAUUUUUCAUUUUCUUUUUCUCUCUCUGCCAUUGUUCUGCGUUUUUGGUGCAUUUAUACUCAAUCUGACGCAAAACAGGAAAUUUUAAGUGCUAUGUCAUAGGCAACUGGACUUGCUUGAGUUUCUUGAAGAUGUGCCACCUCUCAUCCAAGAGUCUUUCCCAGUUUUAACGGACUGGUGCUGAGUCGCAGUAGCCUGGAAAUCCAGACCCAAAUCUAGAAAGAUUUAGGGUCUGGCUAUGAGUUAUGUAAAUGGCCCAACUCGAGGGGCGGCACCAAGCAUGCAUUUGAAAAUAUCACUGCACGCAACUGGAUAACACUACGACCAAUCAGAACGUGAGAACUCUGGAUUUCCAGGGUAGAGUCGCAGGCUUUAAACUCUGUUAGUGUGAACCCUUACAGAGUCAUUGGGGUCACAUGUGAGUUGUUGACCCACCCAGCCGUUAUGUGUUUCGUAAGGGUUAGAUGGUCCAGGUGUGAAUGGGUGUUGGAUGGAGGGAUCCCAAGACGGCAUUGUAGAUGGGUGAUAAGUGGUAUCAUAGGCCACUUCCUCUGUUUAACAAUGGUCAUUCCGGUUUGAUGUAGAUGGCUUCUUUCACGCGUCUUUCAAACCAUCUGUCUUCCCUGGUCAAGAUGUGAACAUUGCUGUCCUCGAAAGAAUAUCCCUUUUUCUUUAGAUGUAAAUGAAGAGCCGAGUCUUGACCUGACGACCUGGCUCUCCUGUGCUGUGCCAUGCACUUGUGGAGUGGUUGUUUACAGUUCGUUAGAACUUUUUCUUCAAGAAACUCGAGCAAGUCCAGUUGCCUAUGACAUAGCACUUAUGAUUACCAUGACCUGGAUGACUGAGAAUCUUCACCGACAUAAUGGGAAAUUGCACUUGCAAAACUUCUAUCAGGUGUGUUUGCACUGUACUAUCAAUGGUGCAUUAUCAACCUCGGAAUCCAGUGACUGUCAUCUGAGGACGACACAGCCUCCGGGGGCGAGAGCCAAUAUUUCGGGCUGAUCUGGUGACUUCCCCUUAUGUGCGAGGCUCAUUUUAGUUAACGUCUAUAAACAGAUAUUUGCAUAUGAAUGAAGAUACAUUUUAAAAAAUAUUAUAAAGCUAACGUGUCAUGAGACUAUUGAGAUUGUACCUCGGCCAAUGCGUUCCACCUCUCCGCACGGACUUUAUGUCUGCUGUUCGAACAGAAUUGGUCAGUACUACUUGGACUACAAACAAAAAUGAGAACUGAUACCAAAAUUUUGUCCUGUCGACAACACAUUCUGCACACACAUGCAGAUUUCAGGUGAUAGAGAUCGGUGCAUAUCUUUUGUGAACUGGACUUUGAGACGAGGCAGAUAGUGGUUGCAAGUGAGUCGCAAUUCACGUUGCUAUCAGUGGCAACAAUCCAUUUGUUGUGAAUUUGCCCACGAGUGUUCAGCUGCUUUGUUUUGAAUGAUCUUUACCAGACAGUGCCUCUUAUCUUCUGAACACUUCCUAACGCUCUCCUUCUUUGUUCUGGU